rnacentral:rRNA from 1 species
GACAGAGGUGCCGAGCGUUAGGCGGAAUCACUGGGCUUAAAGCGUGUGUAGGCGGAAUGGUAAGUACCUUGUGAAAUCCCACAGCUCAACUGUGGAACUGCUCGGUAUACUGCUUUUCUUGAGCCACUUAGGGGCUGUCGGAACAAACGGUGGAGCGGUGAAAUGCGUAGAUAUCGUUUGGAACGCCAAUGGUGGAAAACAGACAGC